UGGCUGGAGCGAUCAAGCUUUGUCAUGCUUGUUAGAAUGCAACAUGUGAUAUAUACUGAAUGUAGUCUAAGAUAGCAAACCAAAAUUGAAAAGAACUGGAAGCAUGCGUAGCACUAUUCUAAGGCAUAUUUCCAUCCUUUAUGCAAGAAAUUUAGAAACACCACCCCAAGAUAUGACUGGUAUUCUUUGUUUGCAAGUAUGACUGUGAAAGAAGUUGAUGAGAACACU
rnacentral:lncRNA from 1 species